GUGGGGAAUUUUGGACAAUGGGCGCAAGCCUGAUCCAGUAAUGCCGCGUGCAGGAAGAAGGCCUUCGGGUUGUAAACUGCUUUUGUACGGAACGAAACGGUCCGGGUUAAUACCCUGGGCUAAUGACGGUACCGUAAGAAUAAGCACCGGCUAACUACGUGCCAGCAGCCGCGGUAAUACGUAGGGUGCAAGCGUUAAUCGGAAUUACUGGGCGUAAAGCGUGCGCAGGCGGUUUUGUAAGACAGGCGUGAAAUCCCCGGGCUCAACCUGGGAAUUGCGCUUGUGACUGCAAGGCUGGAGUGCGGCAGAGGGGGAUGGAAUUCCGCGUGUAGCAGUGAAAUGCGUAGAUAUGCGGAGGAACACCGAUGGCGAAGGCAAUCCCCUGGGCCUGCACUGACGCUCAUGCACGAAAGCGUGGGGAGCAAACAGGAUUAGAAACCCCGGUAGUCC
rnacentral:rRNA from 1 species